rnacentral:rRNA from 1 species
CAGGCUGCAACUCGCCUGCAUGAAGUUGGAAUUGCUAGUAAUCGCGAAUCAGAAUGUCGCGGUGAAUACGUUCCCGGGCCUUGUACACACCGCCCGUCACACCAUGAGAGCCGAUAACACCCGAAGCCUGUGAGCUAACCGGUAAGGGGGCAGCAGUCGAAGGUGGGGUUGGUGAUUGGGGUGAAGUCGUAACAAGGUAUC